UGGGGAAUAUUGGACAAUGGGCGAAAGCCUGAUCCAGCAAUGCCGCGUGUGUGAAGAAGGCCUUCGGGUUGUAAAGCACUUUCAGUUGGGAGGAAGGGGAUGAUGUUAAUAGCAUCGUUCAUUGACGUUACCGACAGAAGAAGCACCGGCUAACUCUGUGCCAGCAGCCGCGGUAAUACAGAGGGUGCUAGCGUUAAUCGGAAUUACUGGGCGUAAAGCGUGUGUAGGUGGUUAGAUAAGUUAGAUGUGAAAACCCUGGGCUUAACCUGGGAACUGCGUUUAAGACUGUUUAGCUAGAGUACUGUAGAGGGCAGUGGAAUUUCCAGUGUAGCGGUGAAAUGCGUAGAUAUUGGAAGGAACACCAGUGGCGAAGGCGACUGCCUGGAUAGAUACUGACACUGAGACACGAAAGCGUGGGGAGCAAACAGG
rnacentral:rRNA from 1 species